UCUAAGUUUAACAGGAUCCUGGGAAAAUCCCUGCAGGCUCAGAGUCAGGACCGCAGCUCUGCAGCAACCAACAGCGCUGUGAAUCUGCGAACAGCAAGUUCAGUGGCUAUUUAUCUACUAAUAAUCUCCUUGUCAGACGUCAGACAGCGACUCUACGCUGCGGAAGGCAUUGUUAUCCAGUAAUGCUGCCAUUUUUAGAAGAACAGCUGUCCAGGUUUGACUUGAUGAUGGAUUUAUUGAGUCACAGCAGAACAUUCUGGGAAAAGCAAGCAACCUCACAUUUUCUCUGUGUAGUAAUUCUUCCUGGUAACAUACAUGGACUCCAGUGACGUAAAAAUCACAAUAUCUACGAUCCCAUUCAGCCGGACGUACAACUCAAAAGAUUUCGAAACUUGGUGCUCACAACAGUUUUAGAGACAAUUUGAAAGGAUGGCUUUCCCGUCUCCCAGUGAAUGUUGAACAUAAUUGAGUUUGUGGGAACGAAACAAACACCAAACCAUGACAGGAGGAUGGAGACUGGGAGUGAAAAAACGCCAGUAAACUGAAUUAAGUAAGAGUAAAUCUGUAAGCUUUGAUUGUCUGCUCUGAUUUGUUAGCUGAUAAUACUGAUUGUAGUUAAUUAUCAGGAAGCUGUUUGGGCUGCAUGUUGUUUUCUAUUAUGGCUUCUCGUGUGAGAACCUACCAUCCGUCUGCUUUACUGACCUGGAUUCAUUACUUUCUCUUUGUUUAGCUUUAGACACCGUACCAGGCUCCUAACAGACAUUUUGAAGAUAAGCCGAUAUCUACAGAUAUACUUUACUGGAGACUAAUUGUUGCAUGACUUUUCUCUGACCCACACCACUGACUUGACACCAAACAUCAUCUUUAUUUGAUCCAAAGACAGAUGUAGGUCAGGUUUGUGUUGGUAAACCAAACAGAAAAUACUUUGCUCAUUUGAAGUUAAAACAGAAAGCGUAAGAGGCCAGACAAUCACGGUCAUCCUACUGCUACAUGACAGAAGCAACAAGCAGGACAGGUUUACUUAUGCAACCGUAUCACAAUCCAAAUUUUACUUAUUUUUGUGCUUAAAUUUGGGAUUCUGCUACUUCUACAAACAACCCAAACGCUUUAAAAAAAAGCACCCAGACAAUUUUUGGUAAUAAAUUAAUGUUUUCUUGGUGUUUGGAAAAUUUGUUGUUUCAAAAGACUUUGGAAUGUAACUUCACAAAUCUGCCCCGUUACCUAGCAACCCCGUCAGAGCGCCACCCGUUACCUAGCAACCCUAGCUGAGCUCCAGGACGUUUGGUCAGCUGGUUUUACCACUGUAUGCGCUGCACAGUGACUCCCGGAAGUGUUAGUUGUUGACUAUGACUAACCAUCCAGAAUCCACUUUUCAGAGAUGAACGUUUGAAUAAUCUGUUUGCAGCCAUUUUCACAUGAGAGUUUAAAUUAUUUAAAGUGACAAGACGCCUUAAAACAGCUCAAGCUGGAAGGAGUUCGAAAUAGGCAGAACUGAGCAGACUAAAAUCUCAUCAUCUAGAAAGGAUUUUGAGCAAAAAAUGUAAUAAAAAUGUUUAUUAUAGCCCACAGACCUGUUCAAAGAAGUAUAAUACCUCAACUUUAAACUUUUUGGUGUAAAAUAUAGACUAAUUUCUUUAUAAGUUACCUUUAAUGGUGUAGACUUUUGUGACUUUUUAAAGAAGCUAUUGUUUCUUUACAUUUUCUGACCAUCUGUCAGGAUUGGGUUUUCUCUGUGUUGAUGUGUUUUUCUGUGUGUUUGUUUUGGGUUUCUGUGUCUUGAGUCUCCGUGUUGUCCUGUCUACCCCUUGAUUGUUCGUUCCGUGAUUACCCUCAGUGUAUUUAAUGCCACCUGUGUUUCUGUGUCCUUGUCGUACCAGUAUGUCGAUCUUGUCGUUUCUGUCAUUUCUGAUGUUUGUCCAUUGUUUCCAGUCGCUACUCAUGCAAUACCUUAUGUAACACAACCUGCGUUGAAAGGUCCACUGCGUUCUGCCUCAUCACCUCUUCCACAAAUCAUGACACCAUCCUGCAAUUUUUUUUUUACGUUUAACAAGAAUACAGCAAAAUUUACUCUUCAAUAAUAAUGUUUCAGGAAAAUUAAAAAAAUUAAAAAAAGAAAUCUGCUAAAAUCUAAAAUAAUAAUAAAAAUGUCAGCUUUCUUUUUAUCAGUAGUCAUGCAUGAACUCGGGAGGCUUUCAAUAAAUACGGGUCAACUUGCUCUUACAGCCAACAAGCUUAAAGGGUGUUUGGGAAGCUAAUAUUUUGGGUCACAAUAAGCUUUGAAGAUUUGCAGAGGUCAUGGUGUUUUUUUAUUCUUCUUAGGCCAGCAAGAUUUAGAGGAAUGAAUGAAUGAAUGUACAAAGGUCCGUAUUAAUCAAAGAUUUAAUAGGAUUUCAUUGUGUUAAUUCGAUGCUGAUUAAAGGAUUUGCUGAAGGUUAAAUUCAAAACAAAACCUCCUUCAGCUCUGAGCAUUUUGGAGCCGCUGUAGUCGGUCAGAGCUGCUGUUUCCUGGAUAUCUGUCCCUGAAAGACAGAUCUCAUUAUCUUAAUAUCGUUCGUCACCACUGUAAUCCAAAACGUCAGAGAAAACACUGACAAGCUAUCAGAUUGCAACUUAACUGAUUGGUAAAAUCAUUGGCAGCAGACAUAGUGGCUGAGAUCUUUUCUAAAUGAUGAUUUAACUCUACUUGAACCCAAACAGAUUUACACGUUUUAAUCAGUUAACAAUCCCUACUAUGUCAUGUUUGUGCUAAAUGUGUGAAUGCAGUUUGCAGCUCAUGUAAUACUGAGUUUUAACUGUAAUGAAAGUGGAUAUGCCAGGUGGGAGUUCAGUCCGUAAUUGGUGCAUGUGAACUGUUGAGAAAUGUAAACAUCUGGGGGAUUUCUAUUUGUAUUUCUUUCGUGAUGUGUGUGAAACCCCUUACACAGAUUUGUGGCAUUCCUGGGUGAUAUUUUCUUUAAUUAAACUCUGCAUGACAUCAAGUUAUUGCAAAGGGGUUUUUUAAAGUGUCUCAUAAAAACUGGUUCCUUAAUUUUACUCUUUACAUCAUUUUAAGUGGGAUUUAAACAGUGGUCUGUGGUUAAAGAGUGUACUGCAACAAAUUGCAUGUACUUUGGUGACAUUUUGGUAAAAAUAACUGCAUUUUCAUUGUAAAUGUGCACAGAAUUUUGUCAAUUUUUUUUUUUUUUAAAUACUUGAAUCGGUGUUUUGACUCCGACAACCAAAAACACAACAGCUGAGAUGGUUGGAGUCCGUGUUUGCACCAACAACCCACCAGUUUCAGAACAAAUCCUUUCAGAUAUGUUUCUCCAAAAAUAUCCGGAAGGUAUGAAAUAUCUGAGUGGUUUUUCUGAUUUUAAAUAACAAUGGUUAAUAGUUUGAACUUCUUACCAGAAAAUGCAGUUUGACUCAUCCAAUGAUAAAUAAAUUCAGUUCAGUUUAUUAUACAAAAACUUCUAGACUUUCCACAAUGCUAAAAUUAAUUCUGGCAUUCUGAUUGACAGGUGAAAAUUAACAACAUUAACAACAAAAUUAACAAAGACGGUUACAACGUCGGCCUUCUAUCACCUGAAGAACAUUUGUAGGAUUAAAGGACUAAUGUCUCAGCCAGAUCUAGAGAAA